AAAUUGAAGAGUUUGAUCAUGGCUCAGAUUGAACGCUGGCGGCAGGCCUAACACAUGCAAGUCGAACGGUAGCACAGAGAGCUUGCUCUCGGGUGACGAGUGGCGGACGGGUGAGUAAUGUCUGGGAAACUGCCUGAUGGAGGGGGAUAACUACUGGAAACGGUAGCUAAUACCGCAUAACGUCGCAAGACCAAAGAGGGGGACCUUCGGGCCUCUUGCCAUCAGAUGUGCCCAGAUGGGAUUAGCUAGUAGGUGGGGUAACGGCUCACCUAGGCGACGAUCCCUAGCUGGUCUGAGAGGAUGACCAGCCACACUGGAACUGAGACACGGUCCAGACUCCUACGGGAGGCAGCAGUGGGGAAUAUUGCACAAUGGGCGAAAGCCUGAUGCAGCCAUGCCGCGUGUAUGAAGAAGGCCUUCGGGUUGUAAAGUACUUUCAGCGGGGAGGAAGGUGUUGUGGUUAAUAACCACAGCAAUUGACGUUACCCGCAGAAGAAGCACCGGCUAACUCCGUGCCAGCAGCCGCGGUAAUACGGAGGGUGCAAGCGUUAAUCGGAAUUACUGGGCGUAAAGCGCACGCAGGCGGUCUGUCAAGUCGGAUGUGAAAUCCCCGGGCUCAACCUGGGAACUGCAUUCGAAACUGGCAGGCUAGAGUCUUGUAGAGGGGGGUAGAAUUCCAGGUGUAGCGGUGAAAUGCGUAGAGAUCUGGAGGAAUACCGGUGGCGAAGGCGGCCCCCUGGACAAAGACUGACGCUCAGGUGCGAAAGCGUGGGGAGCAAACAGGAUUAGAUACCCUGGUAGUCCACGCCGUAAACGAUGUCGAUUUGGAGGUUGUGCCCUUGAGGCGUGGCUUCCGGAGCUAACGCGUUAAAUCGACCGCCUGGGGAGUACGGCCGCAAGGUUAAAACUCAAAUGAAUUGACGGGGGCCCGCACAAGCGGUGGAGCAUGUGGUUUAAUUCGAUGCAACGCGAAGAACCUUACCUGGUCUUGACAUCCACAGAACUUUCCAGAGAUGGAUUGGUGCCUUCGGGAACUGUGAGACAGGUGCUGCAUGGCUGUCGUCAGCUCGUGUUGUGAAAUGUUGGGUUAAGUCCCGCAACGAGCGCAACCCUUAUCCUUUGUUGCCAGCGGUUAGGCCGGGAACUCAAAGGAGACUGCCAGUGAUAAACUGGAGGAAGGUGGGGAUGACGUCAAGUCAUCAUGGCCCUUACGACCAGGGCUACACACGUGCUACAAUGGCGCAUACAAAGAGAAGCGACCUCGCGAGAGCAAGCGGACCUCAUAAAGUGCGUCGUAGUCCGGAUUGGAGUCUGCAACUCGACUCCAUGAAGUCGGAAUCGCUAGUAAUCGUAGAUCAGAAUGCUACGGUGAAUACGUUCCCGGGCCUUGUACACACCGCCCGUCACACCAUGGGAGUGGGUUGCAAAAGAAGUAGGUAGCUUAACCUUCGGGAGGGCGCUUACCACUUUGUGAUUCAUGACUGGGGUGAAGUCGUAACAAGGUAACCGUAGGGGAACCUGCGGUUGGAUCACCUCCUUA
rnacentral:rRNA from 1 species